rnacentral:rRNA from 1 species
ACCAACAGGGAUUGCCCUAGUAACGGCGAGUGAAGCGGCAACAGCUCAAAUUUGAAAGCUGGCUUAGGCCCGCAUUGUAAUUUGCAGAGGAUGCUUCUGGCGAGGUGCCUUCCGAGUUCCCUGGAACGGGACGCCAUAGAGGGUGAGAGCCCCGUAUGGAUGGACACCAAACCUGUGUGAAGCUCCUUCAACGAGUCGAGUAGUUUGGGAAUGCUGCUCUAAAUGGGAGGUAAAUCUCUUCUAAAGCUAAAUACCGGCCAGAGACCGAUAGCGCACAAGUAGAGUGAUCGAAAGAUGAAAAGCACCUUGAAAAGGGGGUUAAACAGUACGUGAAAUUGUUGAAAGGGAAGCGCUUGUGACCAGACUUGCGCCGGGCAGCUCAUCAGGGGUUCUCCCCUGUGCACUCUGCCCGGCUCAGGCCAGCAUCGGUUUUCGUGGGAGGAUAAGAACGGUAGGAACGUGGCCCCCUCUCGGGGGGGUGUUAUAGCCUACCGUACGAUACUCCCGUGGGGACCGAGGUUCGCGCUCCGCAAGGAUGCUGGCGUAAUGGUCAUCAGCGACCCGUCUUGAAACACGGACCAAGGAGUCGUCCAUUAGAGCGAGCGUUUGGGUGUAAAACCCGCACGCGUAAUGAAAGUGAACGCAGGUGAGAGCUUCGGCGCAUCAUCGACCGAUCCUGAUGUCUUCGGAUGGAUUUGAGUAAGAGUUUUAACGGACGGACCCGAAAGACAGUGAACUAUGCUUGUAUAGGGUGAAGCCAGAGGAAACUCUGGUGGAGGCUCGCAGCGGUUCUGACGUGCAAAUCGAUCGUCAAAUAUGAGCAUGGGGGCGAAAGACUAAUCG